CCUACGGGUGGCAGCAGUCGAGAAUCAUUCACAAUGGGGGAAACCCUGAUGGUGCGACGCCGCGUGGGGGAAUGAAGGUCUUCGGAUUGUAAACCCCUGUCAUGUGGGAGCAAAUUAAAAAGAUAGUACCACAAGAGGAAGAGACGGCUAACUCUGUGCCAGCAGCCGCGGUAAUACAGAGGUCUCAAGCGUUGUUCGGAAUCACUGGGCGUAAAGGGUGCGUAGGCUGUUUCGUAAGUCGUGUUUGAAAGGCGCGGGCUCAACCCGAGGACGGCACAUGAUACUGCGAGACUAGAGUAAUGGAGGGGGAACCGGAAUUCUCGGUGUAGCAGUGAAAUGCGUAGAUAUCGAGAGGAACACUCGUGGCGAAGGCGGGUUCCUGGACAUUAACUGACGCUGAGGCACGAAGGCCAGGGGAGCGAAAGGGAUUAGAUACCCGAGUAGUC
rnacentral:rRNA from 1 species